UGGGUGUGCUACAAAUCUGCAGUCAUGGCUUUGUGAACCGAUCGUUAAGUAGUGCUGAGUUCAGUCCAAGUCAGCGUCUUUCUCUCUCUCUCACACACACACACACACAUCCACCCAGGAGUUCAACAUCGUGAUCUCAUUCAGAGUGGCUCAGGACCGACGGUAGCUUGCUUUCUGAUCGAUUGAAAAAUAAAUACAAUCAUCUGCCAAGUCAUUUUCUUCUCUUAUGUGCAUUGAAUUUUGUGGGCUAAAUUAUUCCUUUUGUUCAGGUGUGUUAUGUUCUUUUACCCUCUGAUACUUUACACCUUUUACACAUUAUAAAAGACUAAAUCUCUACAGGCCAGGCCUCGUUUUACAAGCCAGAUACAGACUAUUUCAUCUGAAAAUCGUUCAAAUAACCAUUGAAGACAUUCAAGCCCUUAAAAAAAGCUCCCCCACAAAAUAAAUACCAUGGUUUAGACUUCAGUGGGCAUUCACGAUGUGCCAUGAACAUUUACUUGUGAUCUGUGUUUCCUGUUCUAGGACCAGGUUUUUGAUCUAACCAGAGAAAGUGUAGGUUUUGUUUUCACACCUUAAUCCACCCCCCAAAAAACCUCUUACAGACAGCAGCAUGUGUUAGUUAUUGAAACUUGUAGCUUGAAGUCAGCGCUCUGCAGAAUCACAGUAAUGUCACUAAUUUUGGUCCAUUUUUAUCCCCUGGCUGUAAUUAAAGCAACAUGGGGCAAAAAAACAAGCACCUACAGUAAUACCUCAUGUAGCCUGGGCAAUUACACCCACUAAAAGUUUCUCAUCAGUAUCAACUUCAGCCUGCUUUACUCAAUGUUUCCAACAAAAGCUUCUAUACCAGGUAUUAUAAGCUUCAGGAAAUGGACAGAUACUUCCCUCAAAACAUCAUGCGUUCAUACACAGACAACAUACGGUAGAGAGAGGACUUUCAGGAUCGACCACCACGGACCACAACGUUGUGCUAUUAGUACAUAUAGCUUUGAACACUAUUUGGAAAGUAAGAAAGUGAGUCUACAGCUAAAGACAGAGGCUGACCAUGUACAGGAUCAUACUGAGCUUGUCAGUUUAAGAGUAAAAUGACCCCUGUGGCAUCAGACUUCAUUAUCUGAAUACAAGACUCUAGUCAUCACCAUUAGCUACUCAUAUGACAUUGUGGGUUAAUUUAGCCAAUUUGACUGACUUGCAAAUUAGGAAAAUAAACUAUUGUGUAAUUCAGUGAUGGUAGAAAAAAAAAUUAAUAAAUGAGAGAGAGAGAGACACACACGCACAUUUCAAACAAAUGUCUGCAAACCUUUUUUCAACCUGAUCAAAACGUUCCUCAGCAAGCUUUUAUUAAUUUUUUUUUUCCAGCCAGUUGCUAAGGAAAUUUUAAAAAUGAUACCUUUUUCCACAGUGGGGAAUUCAUCAUCAGGGAUAACAGAGCUCUACAAGUGGUGGUUUGUGGCCUCACACAGCGUUUCUGAUUCGGCCCACGUUCGACAAAUCCUGAUUGAUGUGCAGAAUGGAACGGAUCAGGAACUGCCGCUGGUGAUCCCCAUGCGCUACACUUUUGUUUUGAGAAGAUAAUCAUAAUGAAUACAAAUAAGUCACAGAGCAACACAGCUUGAAGAGGCAAUGAACACCAGAUGAAUGGCAUUGCAGUGAUUUAUUUUGUACAGUAUGAAAUGUGCACUACUUUGCCCCGACUGUAAAGGCAAAAGCAAAGCAUAUUUACACGCUGGAGCCAGGCUGGAUGCCUCACUACCUCCCAUCUCUUACAGCCUACACUGAAACACAGAUAGGGCUUCAGAUUCAGGAUUCAAACUCCAUGAACCACAUUCCUGCUAAAGUAGUAAUCCCUUAAAAUAACUAUAGCCCAGAAAAGGCAGAAAAAAAAUUAAAAAGCAAAUAAAAAAUAAAAAAAAA